ensembl:miRNA
GACCAUCCUCCUGGUUUGCCUGGGACUGAGUGGUUUCCUGGGUCUGUGGGACUUCCAGUGCUUAAACUGGGCAGGU